CCCGCACAAGCGGAGGAGCAUGUGGUUUAAUUCGAUGAUACGCGAGGAACCUUACCUGGGCUCGAACGUAAGAUGACUGUAGGUGAAAGCUUACAUCUCUUCGGAGCAUUUUACGAGGUGCUGCAUGGUUGUCGUCAGCUCGUGCCGUGAGGUGUCGGGUUAAGUCCCAUAACGAGCGCAACCCUUGUCCUUAGUUACCAGCACGUUAUGGUGGGCACUCUAAGGAGGACUGCCGGUGACAAACCGGAGGAAGGUGGGGAUGACGUCAAGUCAUCAUGGCCCUUACGGCCUGGGCUACACACGUGCUACAAUGGUCGGUACAAAGGGUUGCCAAGCCGCGAGGUGGAGCUAAUCCCAUAAAACCGAUCGUAGUCCGGAUCGCAGUCUGCAACUCGACUGCGUGAAGUCGGAAUCGCUAGUAAUCGUGAAUCAGAAUGUCACGGUGAAUACGUUCCCGGGCCUU
rnacentral:rRNA from 1 species